UUAAGCAUAUCAAUAAGCGGAGGAAAAGAAACCAACAGGGAUUACCUCAGUAACGGCGAGUGAAGCGGUAACAGCUCAAAUUUGAAAUCUGGCUCUUUUAGGGUCCGAGUUGUAAUUUGUAGAAGAUGCUUCGGGUGUGGCUCCGGUCUAAGUUCCUUGGAACAGGACGUCAUGGAGGGUGAGAAUCCCGUAUGUGACUGGUUGCCUUCGCCCGUGUGAAGCUCUUUCGACGAGUCGAGUUGUUUGGGAAUGCAGCUCUAAAUGGGUGGUAAAUUUCAUCUAAAGCUAAAUAUUGGCCAGAGACCGAUAGCGCACAAGUAGAGUGAUCGAAAGAUGAAAAGCACUUUGGAAAGAGAGUUAAACAGUACGUGAAAUUGUUGAAAGGGAAGCGCUUGCAACCAGACUUGCACCCCGUCGAUCAUCCCCCGUUCUCGGAGGUGCACUCGGCGGGGUCCAGGCCAGCAUCGGUUUCGGUGGUGGGAUAAAGGCCUUGGGAACGUAGCUCCUCUCGGGGAGUGUUAUAGCCCUCGGUGCAAUGCCGCCUACCGGGACCGAGGACCGCGCUUCGGCUAGGAUGCUGGCGUAAUGGUUGUAAGCGACCCGUCUUGAAACACGGACCAAGGAGUCUAACAUCUAUGCGAGUGUUUGGGUGUCAACCCAUACGCGUAAUGAAAGUGAACGGAGGUGAGAACCCGUUAGGGCGCAUCAUCGACCGAUCCUGAUGUCUUCGGAUGGAUUUGAGUAAGAGCAUAGCUGUUGGGACCCGAAAGAUGGUGAACUAUGCCUAAAUAGGGUGAAGCCAGAGGAAACUCUGGUGGAGGCUCGCAGCGGUUCUGACGUGCAAAUCGAUCGUCAAAUUUGGGUAUAGGGGCGAAAGACUAAUCGAACCAUCAAUUACCUACGUUUUGCUACUAGGUGGUUAAGAGAUGCCUGAAAAAGCGCAUCUAGUCCCAAGCCAGGGGCGACAUUACCAAAUUGUUCGGGGACGUCCUGCUUUAAAUUCUAGACUACUGCAGCUCUGUCGAAAGACGAGUGCGCACCAGGGUAAUGACCUCGGGGAUAGUAAUAACGUCUAGAUAGGGAUAAUCCGCAGCCAAGUUCUAAGGGCAUCCGCCUACGAAUACAGUUCACAGACUAAAUGGUAGUGGGUUCGCGGUAGUAAUAUCGUGGGCUUAAGUUAUAGUCGAUCCGCCGGGAGACCGGUAGCAAGAGAGGGAUUACAGAUAGGGGCUACCUACUCAUCUAGGUCUAUCUGUACGAGUGCCUUGCUAAGGGCUAGGGUGACACCUAGACCCUGGGGAGGGGUAAGGGCGAUAUGGUCUUAUCCUUCCAGAAAGCUAGUAGCUGGUUCCUGCCGAAGUUUCCCUCAGGAUAGCAGUGUUGAAUUCAGUUUUAUGAGGUAAAGCGAAUGAUUAGAGGCCUUGGGGCUGAAACAGCCUUAACCUAUUCUCAAACUUUAAAUAUGUAAGAAGUCCUUGUUACUUAAUUGAACGUGGACAUUCGAAUGUACCAACACUAGUGGGCCAUUUUUGGUAAGCAGAACUGGCGAUGCGGGAUGAACCGAACGUGAAGUUAAGGUGCCGGAAUGUACGCUCAUCAGACACCACAAAAGGUGUUAAUUCAUCUAGACAGCAGGACGGUGGCCAUGGAAGUCGGAAUCCGCUAAGGAAUGUGUAACAACUCACCUGCCGAAUGAAUUAGCCCUGAAAAUGGAUGGCGCUUAAGCGUACUACCCAUACUUCACCGCCAGGGUAGAAACGAUGCCCUGGCGAGUAGGCAGGCGUGGGGGUCCGUGACGAAGC
rnacentral:rRNA from 1 species